CUAAGACAAACAGCCACUCCCAGGGCGCAGGGACCGGAGACAAUGCAGAUUUCAGGGCCCGAGGGAUGCAUCACUGAGGGAGCCACGACUGGUCUCUGGGCCUGACGGUAAACCAGGGCUGUUAAGUGUUGCCCAGGUGGCCAGCAAGACAAAUAAGUGCCUCAAGCUAAGGUAAAUGAGGACCAGAGAGAUGAAGCUCCUGGCUCAAGUGGCUCCUAUCCCAUGAUUCCAGCUCUCCAGCAAUUCUCCCCCACUCCCACCUCUAUUCGAUUCUGGGGCCGAAAGCCAGCAAGGCAGAGCCACUGGGACCUUCCCUGCCUGAGAAGCGCAUAGAAGUAAGACCCUCGAACAGGUCCAAGCUGGGCCCAUCACAGAAAACAGAUGUCCACUGAGGGUCCAGCAUCGGGAUUUAGGGCUAUUUUUUACAAUGUUACUGAAUGAAUAAAUUCCCCCAAGACUUACAUUUUAAAAUUUAAGAGUUGUCACCUAUUCUGUUCUAAGGAUGCCUAGAAGGAAUAUCGGCUUUAGCUCAACUUCCCAUGGCGAAGGGGAAAACUGCUGUGUGCUAUGAUAAAUGAUUUACAAACCUUCUUUGUUUAAAAUUUCCUUAGAACAAGGCAAAGGUGAGUAUUAUUAUCCCAGGCUCAGAGAGGAUGAAUGAGGCUCAGAGAUGUUAAGUAAAUUGUCUAAGGUCCCAAAGCUAGUAAUAGAUGUAGUAAUAAUUAAUAUAAUACAUGAUGAUUUUAGUUGACAUUUGUCAAAUGUUUACUCUGUGCUAGACACUGCUAAUCCCUUCCUGUGGAUUAAC
rnacentral:lncRNA from 10 species